UACCAACCCGAUGCAAACUGCGAAUACCGGAGAAUGUUAUCACGGGAGACACACGGCGGGUGCUAACGUCCGUCGUGAAGAGGGAAACAACCCAGACCGCCAGCUAAGGUCCCAAAGUCAUGGUUAAGUGGGAAACGAUGUGGGAAGGCCCAGACAGCCAGGAUGUUGGCUUAGAAGCAGCCAUCAUUUAAAGAAAGCGUAAUAGCUCACUGGUCGAGUCGGCCUGCGCGGAAGAUGUAACGGGGCUAAACCAUGCACCGAAGCUGCGGCAGCGACGCUGAUGCGUUGUUGGGUAGGGGAGCGUUCUGUAAGCCUGUGAAGGUGUGCUGUGAGGCAUGCUGGAGGUAUCAGAAGUGCGAAUGCUGACAUAAGUAACGAUAAAGCGGGUGAAAAGCCCGCUCGCCGGAAGACCAAGGGUUCCUGUCCAACGUUAAUCGGGGCAGGGUGAGUCGACCCCUAAGGCGAGGCCGAAAGGCGUAGUCGAUGGGAAACAGGUUAAUAUUCCUGUACUUGGUGUUACUGCGAAGGGGGGACGGAGAAGGCUAUGUUGGCCGGGCGACGGUUGUCCCGGUUUAAGCGUGUAGGCUGGUUUUCCAGGCAAAUCCGGAAAAUCAAGGCUGAGGCGUGAUGACGAGGCACUACGGUGCUGAAGCAACAAAUGCCCUGCUUCCAGGAAAAGCCUCUAAGCAUCAGGUAACAUCAAAUCGUACCCCAAACCGACACAGGUGGUCAGGUAGAGAAUACCAAGGCGCUUGAGAGAACUCGGGUGAAGGAACUAGGCAAAAUGGUGCCGUAACUUCGGGAGAAGGCACGCUGAUAUGUAGGUGAAGUCCCUCGCGGAUGGAGCUGAAAUCAGUCGAAGAUACCAGCUGGCUGCAACUGUUUAUUAAAAACACAGCACUGUGCAAACACGAAAGUGGACGUAUACGGUGUGACGCCUGCCCGGUGCCGGAAGGUUAAUUGAUGGGGUUAGCCGCAAGGCGAAGCUCUUGAUCGAAGCCCCGGUAAACGGCGGCCGUAACUAUAACGGUCCUAAGGUAGCGAAAUUCCUUGUCGGGUAAGUUCCGACCUGCACGAAUGGCGUAAUGAUGGCCAGGCUGUCUCCACCCGAGACUCAGUGAAAUUGAACUCGCUGUGAAGAUGCAGUGUACCCGCGGCAAGACGGAAAGACCCCGUGAACCUUUACUAUAGCUUGACACUGAACAUUGAGCCUUGAUGUGUAGGAUAGGUGGGAGGCUUUGAAGUGUGGACGCCAGUCUGCAUGGAGCCGACCUUGAAAUACCACCCUUUAAUGUUUGAUGUUCUAACGUUGACCCGUAAUCCGGGUUGCGGACAGUGUCUGGUGGGUAGUUUGACUGGGGCGGUCUCCUCCUAAAGAGUAACGGAGGAGCACGAAGGUUGGCUAAUCCUGGUCGGACAUCAGGAGGUUAGUGCAAUGGCAUAAGCCAGCUUGACUGCGAGCGUGACGGCGCGAGCAGGUGCGAAAGCAGGUCAUAGUGAUCCGGUGGUUCUGAAUGGAAGGGCCAUCGCUCAACGGAUAAAAGGUACUCCGGGGAUAACAGGCUGAUACCGCCCAAGAGUUCAUAUCGACGGCGGUGUUUGGCACCUCGAUGUCGGCUCAUCACAUCCUGGGGCUGAAGUAGGUCCCAAGGGUAUGGCUGUUCGCCAUUUAAAGUGGUACGCGAGCUGGGUUUAGAACGUCGUGAGACAGUUCGGUCCCUAUCUGCCGUGGGCGCUGGAGAACUGAGGGGGGCUGCUCCUAGUACGAGAGGACCGGAGUGGACGCAUCACUGGUGUUCGGGUUGUCAUGCCAAUGGCACUGCCCGGUAGCUAAAUGCGGAAGAGAUAAGUGCUGAAAGCAUCUAAGCACGAAACUUGCCCCGAGAUGAGUUCUCCCUGACUCCUUGAGAGUCCUGAAGGAACGUUGAAGACGACGACGUUGAUAGGCCGGGUGUGUAAGCGCAGCGAUGCGUUGAGCUAACCGGUACUAAUGAACCGUGAGGCUUAACCUU
rnacentral:rRNA from 1 species